rnacentral:rRNA from 1 species
UACGUAGGUGGCAAGCGUUGUCCGGAUUUACUGGGUGUAAAGGGAGCGCAGGCGGGACGGCAAGUUGGAUGUGAAAAACUGAGGCUCAACCUCAGUCCUGCAUCCAAAACUGUUGUUCUUGAGUGGAGCAGAGGUAAGCGGAAUUCCGAGUGUAGCGGUGAAAUGCGUAGAUAUUCGGAGGAACACCAGUGGCGAAGGCGGCUUACUGGACUCUAACUGACGCUGAGGCUCGAAAGCGUGGGGAGCAAACAGGAUUAGAUACCCCGGUA